UGUUGGAAUUGCUACCAACCAAACGACUAUCAACGUUGGACAACAUCUCGGCAACAUAACCACAACACUGAGACCAUUUGAAGUCGUUCACUCAUCAGUUUGGGCUACUACCUCACUCGUUCGGAACAAAGAGAAGACGAGACUAUAUCUAGUGGUCUAAUGGUGCUUAAGAUGUUAAAAUGCUUGGCUUAUUGUGAAAUCGAGGCUAGGAAAGAGUCUAGAAACAAAGACAAUUUAUUUUUACUUGAAAUCUGA
rnacentral:lncRNA from 1 species